UAAAAAUGAUAUGAGCAAUUUAUAGCAAUAU
rnacentral:piRNA from 1 species